CGGACGGGUGAGUAACACGUGGAUAACCUGCCUCACACUGGGGGAUAACAGUUAGAAAUGGCUGCUAAUACCGCAUAAGCGCACAGUACCGCAUGGUACGGUGUGAAAAACCCAGGUGGUGUGAGAUGGAUCCGCGUCUGAUUAGCCAGUUGGCGGGGUAACGGCCCACCAAAGCGACGAUCAGUAGCCGACCUGAGAGGGUGACCGGCCACAUUGGGACUGAGACACGGCCCAA
rnacentral:rRNA from 1 species